GAGUUUGAUCAUGGCUCAGGACGAACGCUGGCGGCGUGCUUAACACAUGCAAGUCGAACGGUGACGAGGAGCUUGCUCCUCUGAUCAGUGGCGAACGGGUGAGUAACACGUGAGCAACCUACCCUUGACUCCGGGAUAACAGUUGGAAACAGCUGCUAAUACCGGAUACGACCUCCGCAGGCAUCUGCAGAGGUGGAAAGCUCCGACGGUCAAGGAUGGGCUCGCGGCCUAUCAGCUUGUUGGUGAGGUAACGGCUCACCAAGGCGACGACGGGUAGCCGGCCUGAGAGGGCGACCGGCCACACUGGGACUGAGAUACGGCCCAGACUCCUACGGGAGGCAGCAGUGGGGAAUAUUGCACAAUGGGCGAAAGCCUGAUGCAGCAACGCCGCGUGCGGGAUGACGGCCUUCGGGUUGUAAACCGCUUUCAGCAGGGACGAAGUGAAAAUGACGGUACCUGCAGAAGAAGCACCGGCUAACUACGUGCCAGCAGCCGCGGUGAUACGUAGGGUGCGAGCGUUGUCCGGAAUUAUUGGGCGUAAAGAGCUUGUAGGCGGUCUGUUGCGUCGGAAGUGAAAACUCAGGGCUUAACCCUGAGCCUGCUUUCGAUACGGGCAGACUUGAGGGAUGUAGGGGAGAACGGAAUUCCUGGUGGAGCGGUGGAAUGCGCAGAUAUCAGGAGGAACACCAGUGGCGAAGGCGGUUCUCUGGACAUUUCCUGACGCUGAGAAGCGAAAGCGUGGGGAGCAAACAGGCUUAGAUACCCUGGUAGUCCACGCCGUAAACGGUGGGCACUAGGUGUGGGACCCAUUCCACGGGUUCCGUGCCGAAGCUAACGCAUUAAGUGCCCCGCCUGGGGAGUACGCCGC
rnacentral:rRNA from 1 species